rnacentral:rRNA from 1 species
GUGGGGAAUAUUGGACAAUGGACCAAAAGUCUGAUCCAGCAAUUCUGUGUGUUUGAUGAAGGCCUUCGGGUUGUAAAGAACUUUAAGUAGGGAAGAAGAAAGUGACGGUACCUACAGAAUAAGCGACGGCUAAAUACGUGCCAGCAGCCGCGGUAAUACGUAUGUCGCAAGCGUUAUCCGGAAUUAUUGGGCAUAAAGCGCGUCUAGGCGGUUUACUAAGUCUGAUGUGAAAAUGCGGAGCUCAACUCCGUAUUGCGUUGGAAACUGGUAGACUAGAGUAUUGGAGAGGUAGGCGGAACUACAAGUGUAGAGGUGAAAUUCGUAGAUAUUUGUAGGAAUGCCAAUGACGAAGGUAGCUUACUGGACAAAUACUGACGCUGAAGCGCGAAAGCUAGGGGAGCAAACAGGAUUAGAUACCCCAGUAGUCC